UACGGGGGGAGCAAGCGUUGUUCGGAUUUACUGGGCGUAAAGGGCGCGUAGGCGGUCGUGACAAGUCACUUGUAAAAUCUCCGGGCUUAACUCGGAACGGUCAAGUGAUACUGUCGGACUAGAGUACAGAAGGGGCAACUGGAAUUCUCGGUGUAGCGGUGAAAUGCGUAGAGAUCCGGAGGAACACCGACGGCGUAGGCAGCGCCCUGGACGACACCUGACGCUGAGGCACGGAAAGCUGGGGGAGCGAACAGG
rnacentral:rRNA from 1 species